rnacentral:misc_RNA from 1 species
UGCAACUAAAUUUCAAUGAAAUUUACACUUACAACAAUCUGCGAACCGCUUUUUGCUACCAGAGACAAAAUGGAGAAGCAAAAAGAUACCUUCUUUGCACAGUUAAUAGACCUUGCAGCCAAGAUUGAUAGAGAUUGUGAACAGUAUAAGCAUGCAAUUUCUGGACAGAAUGAAGACUUCUCUGCACCACAAGCCAUUAAAGACAUCUCAGAUUUGAAAAAUGAUGUUAAAAAAUUAAAGGCACCAUUAUUAACUGAAUUGGACAGACAGAAGAAAGAUGUACAAAGUUUGAAUGAUAUAGCAUCUUCUGUUGACAGUCUACUAAAGAACUUUGUAUCUCCAAAGGUUUCAGAGAUUGAGGAGUACAUGUCACAAUAUGGCUAUAAACCUAAAGGGGAAAUGUGUGACAAAGAGAACAAACAGGAAGAAGCGUAUAGUGAAAGUGAAGACAACGAUGAAGAAAUGACUGCACCAGAAACUCCUCCAGGCAAUGUAAAACCACCUAUUGAUCCAAACCGUACACCACGACUAGAGGAUGCUGGGAUAUCACAGGACACAUUGCAAUAUCUCAAUAGCUUGCAGAAAAAUAAACAUACAAGUACAGCAAUGCCUGCUGUCCAGAAGCCAGUGUGGUCCGAUGUACCAUCCGAUUUCCUGCAUAAUGGUAUCAUAUGCACACCAAGUCUUGCAAAAAGUUUGAAUGCUGACAUCUCGUACAGCACUGACCUUCAUUCAGCCCUCGCAAGUCCGGUUUUGUUCUCUGCUGCUAAACCAAUGCCUGCUAUAGAGGAAAACCUUCCAGACCCUUCUGAACGUCUUCUGUUCAACACCAACCAGAAAGACAGUCCAGCAACUCCUGUAUUCCGUACGCCUGGAAUCAAACAAAUCCUUACAAACACCAGUGGUAAGGAACAUGAAUCCAGUAAAUUUCAUUCAAGCAAGCGACCUGUGAAUAUUGGUCUGUUCAAGUCAGAUGAAAAGGAAACAUGGAAACCAGGAUUUAAGGAAGAGGUUGAUGUACCAGACCCAAUGGCAUGUAUUAAUGAUGGUGAACCAGUUGAGCCAGAGCUCACUUAUAGCCUUGAGGCACUGGCAGAUAUGACUGGUGUAUUUAAAAUCCAUCCUGUCAGAAAGUCUCCCACACAUGCCAUUCAUGUAAAGCCAUUCACAGCGCAUGCAGAUGUUGUCAUUGACAACAAAGAAAAUGCCACACCACCAGAACCUGAAAUGCUUAUAGACCGGAUUAGCAAAGUAAACAUAAGACAAGAAUCUCAGCUUGCAAAAGACUUUGUACCAAAGCACACAGCAGUGAAUGAAAUGCCACCAUCACCAAAAUUAUUCGGCAGUUACGACUUUUUGUGAAAUAAAGUGGCAUGAAAGUGCUAUUGACAUAUCUGUUAUUUCCAAAGUGGAAGAGAAGGAUGAAAUAAACUAGCAUUGGUGAGUGACCUAGGGCCAUCUUGGCCCUCUUGUCUUCAUUGAAUUUUUGCUGCAGGUGUCCAUGAUUAUGGAGAGGGUCUCUGAUUUUGUUUUUCUCAUUAAUACACAAAACUGUAUUGGAUUAUGGAUGUUCAAGUGUCAUAUUGAUGGCUUCAGCAAGAUGAAUGUUCUCUACUUCAGUUGUUUACGGAAAUGAUGUCAGAUUUCAGCCCAUGACAUUACACAGGAAUUGACAAAAGGGCGCAAAAGAUGUUUUGGGCAGUUUUUGACGUCAAGAAUAUGUCAUUAUGUAAUAUUUAAAGACACAAACACUUGACAAUUGUUUUGCCAUUUGCAGAAUUUACACCGCAUAAAGACGCCCGACGUUGCUAUAGUGACAGUGGAUUUUGCAUUAGUGCAAUUUGUAUCAUGUUGUCUUUUGGAUUAUAUACAAAAUAUAUCAAAGUAUCACUUUG